AAUAAAUGCAUUUUUCACUGUUAAUAUUCGAUGUUUGAUUAUCUAUCUUACAUAAAAUGGUUAGAUGUUUAGUAUUUUAUUAGUAUUAGAUAAUAAAACAUGAAUAAUAGUUUAUGUGUGACUAUAUUUUUUAAUUUUUCUCAUAAAUUUUCAAAUAACACAAACGGUCAAAUAUUGGACACGAAAAUUUUCGAAUGCAGUUAUA
rnacentral:pre_miRNA from 1 species